AGAGUUUGAUCCUGGCUCAGGAUGAACGCUAGCUACAGGCUUAACACAUGCAAGUCGAGGGGAAACGAUAUUGGAAGCUUGCCUCCGAUAGGCGUCGACCGGCGCACGGGUGAGUAACGCGUAUCCAACCUGCCCACCACUUGGGGAUAACCUUGCGAAAGUAAGACUAAUACCCAAUGACGUCUCUAGAAGACAUCUGAAGGAGAUUAAAGAUUUAUCGGUGAUGGAUGGGGAUGCGUCUGAUUAGCUUGUUGGCGGGGUAACGGCCCACCAAGGCAACGAUCAGUAGGGGUUCUGAGAGGAAGGUCCCCCACAUUGGAACUGAGACACGGUCCAAACUCCUACGGGAGGCAGCAGUGAGGAAUAUUGGUCAAUGGGCGAGAGCCUGAACCAGCCAAGUAGCGUGCAGGAAGACGGCCCUAUGGGUUGUAAACUGCUUUUAUAAGGGAAUAAAGUUAGUCUCGUGAGACUUUUUGCAUGUACCUUAUGAAUAAGGACCGGCUAAUUCCGUGCCAGCAGCCGCGGUAAUACGGAAGGUCCGGGCGUUAUCCGGAUUUAUUGGGUUUAAAGGGAGCGUAGGCCGGAGAUUAAGCGUGUUGUGAAAUGUAGACGCUCAACGUCUGCACUGCAGCGCGAACUGGUUUCCUUGAGUACGCACAAAGUGGGCGGAAUUCGUGGUGUAGCGGUGAAAUGCUUAGAUAUCACUCAGAACACCGAUUGCGAAGGCAUCUGGCGAAUCCGUAACUGACGCUGAGGCACGAAAGCGUGGGGAUAGAACAGGAUUAGAUACCCUGGUAUUCCACGCCGUAAACGAUGAUGGCUAACCGCCGGCGACACACUGUCGGUGGCCAAGCGAAAGCGAUAAGCCAUCCACCUGGGGAGUACGUCGGCAACGAUGAAACUCAAAGGAAUUGACGGGGGCCCGCACAAGCGGAGGAACAUGUGGUUUAAUUCGAUGAUACGCGAGGAACCUUACCCGGGCUCGAACGGCACCUGGAUCGCCCAGAGAUGGGCGAGUCUUCGGACAGGUGUCGAGGUGCUGCAUGGUUGUCGUCAGCUCGUGCCGUGAGGUGUCGGCUCAAGUGCCAUAACGAGCGCAACCCCUGCCGCCAGUUGCCAUCAGGUGAUGCUGGGCACUCUGGCGGGACUGCCACCGCAAGGUGUGAGGAGGGGGGGGAUGACGUCAAAUCAGCACGGCCCUUACGUCCGGGGCGACACACGUGUUACAAUGGCGGCCACAGAGGGAAGCUACCCCGCGAGGGGAUGCGGAUCUCGAAAAGCCGUCCCAGUUCGGACUGGAGUCUGCAACCCGACUCCACGAAGUUGGAUUCGCUAGUAAUCGCGCAUCAGCCAUGGCGCGGUGAAUACGUUCCCGGGCCUUGUACACACCGCCCGUCAAGCCAUGGAAGCCGCGGGCGCCUGAAGUCCGUGACCGUAAGGAGCGGCCUAGGGCGAAAGUGGUAACUGGGGCUAAGUCGUAACAAGGUA
rnacentral:rRNA from 1 species